rnacentral:lncRNA from 1 species
GGUGGUUUGCCAACUGGGGUUGGUGGCUUGUAUGAGUCUUCAGCAUUCUCAGCAGGAGGGUGACCAGGGUUGUGACCAUAAUGUGGUGGCUUCUCUCCCUUAGGUGGUUUGCCAACUGGGGUUGGUGGCUUGUGUUCUGGGAGUGGCUUCUCCCCCUUGGGAGGUUUUUCCAAUGGGGUUGGUUUGUGUUCAGGAGGUGGCUUCUCCACUGGAGGCUUGUGUUCAGGAGGUGGCUUCUCCACCGGAGGCUUGUGUUCAGGUGGUGGCUUCUCCACCGGAGGCUUAUGCUCUGGUGGUGGCUUCUCGAAUGGGGGAUGCUUAGGAUAAUCAGCAAGUGAGGGGGCGGUGAGAACCACCAGGCCAAGCAACACCACUAGCAAAUAUGUAGGAGACAUCUUUGGGUUUGGGCUCAGAUGGUGCAAAACUAGGAGAAUUGGCUAGCCUUUUAUAGCGGAUCGUACCCAAUAAUGAAAUGACACGUGUCAUUAUGACCCAUGUGUAAUGGGGUCGAUUUGGGUCCUACAGUGUUGAAAACUUCGACAUCCACUUUUGGCCUUUUGCUUUCUCUACAGCCGCCUUGCUUUUUCCCUCUUUCCUUUUGUUUUCCUCCUGCCCCAUUCUAUCAACUAAACACAAUUAUGUAGUUGUUUAAUUCUUAAAUGAGAUAUUAUCCGUCAAUCGUAUUAUAUUUUAUCAAGAGAGAACGGAGUGCAAUGUGGCUGUAAUUUUAUCGUUUAGUUUUAUCUCUUGGACCACUGCAUUUUUGUUAAGAGGUGCAAUAAUACACGUCUUUAUCUGCCAUUCAAUAUUUACAGUAAAGAGAGGGCACAAAACUCUUCACUUCGCACCAUAAUUAUUUUGUUUUCUGGACACCCCGGGGCCCUUUGGUUGGUUUGGGGGUCAGAAAGUGAACAUCAUAGGGGGUUUUUCCCUUAUGUGCAUUUGUAUCUGAUGGCUUUAACUCGCCUUGUUACUACAAAGAAACUGUCACAGAUAGGAACUUAUUCCAGGCUGAGUAUCUCCUCAUAGACCCUAUAAAAGAAGACAAGUCAUAAUGAACAUCUAACCUUUGUUCAAUUUGAUUCAAUGCCCCCAUUGUGUCCAUCUCACAAAUCUGAAUUAUUAUAUCCAUUGAAUACAUAAAUUAAUGAAGAAAAUAUGAAACCCAAGAUACAUCUCUGCACAACCUCAACCCUGGUUGCUAUGUUUCCCUUCUAUUCACAUGAUUUGAUGCUAAUUGCCAAACUUGCAACAAGCCCUGAGUUUGACACCUAGUAUCGAUGGGCGAAUUUAAAGUCUCCUCCAAACAUAUAUUCCACAGCUUGAAGCUCACAGAAGAUGUUACAGGCAGGGAAAAACCUUCAGAGUUCGCUACCAAAGAUAAUUAUUAAGGAGAUAUCACAAAGAGAAUUCCAAGGGGUCUGAAUCAAAGACAAAUUGGUCGUUCGUGGGGGUUCUUACUUUCUUUUGGGUAUAACUCACUGAGGGCACUGUCUUUGUUAUUUGCAUUUCACAUUUAGAGUUCUGUUCUGGAAACAUAUAAAAGGAGCAUCAUUUUGUUCUUGGGUAACCCAUAGUCGUGAGUGGGUCCAUUUGCAUGCUACUUAGUUGAAAAGUUGGACCAUUUGCUCCGACGCCUACCUCCCGGAUUCCAUGCUCGGAUAAAACAAGAAUAAAAAAAAUAUUUAUAAUUUACAAAUGGGGGAAAGAAAAAAAUGUCAACAACAAACCAGGAAAAAAGAGUAGUAAAAUUCAUGUCACAUGCUAGUGAGAGAAGGGGUUGUUACACUCACUCGAAGUUCUUUCCAAAAUAUCGCAUGGUAUUUUAUUUUAUGUGUCAGCGCAGUUGUGAAUGGAACGUGCAAAAGUCCAAAUUGGCGUUUUUCCUUUUCCCGUGUAGGAUGGCGACCUUUAAUAAAUAUUUAAAACAAAAAACGAAAAAAAGGAGGGAAAAGGGAUCAGAAAAGAUAAAACAAUGUGUACAAGAGCUCAAUUAGUUUGCAAAUUACUGUUUGGAUUUUGAUAGUAUUUUAUUUGUCCAUCUAUAUUUGAUGGAAAAGAGAAUUUAAGAUAUUUCUGAAACAAAAGCAUUAGUGUAAAACUAAAUUAAGGUAUAAUUAAGUUAGUUCAAUGCAUUAAUUUAAGAAACUUGAUCUAUCCAAAGUACAAAAUUAGAUGAAAUCCAUUUCAAUGGUUAAAAUGAUCAAAAUCAAACUUUUUCUAAGUAUUUUUUAAAAGCAUCAAUAUUAAAAGACAAUUUUAUAUUUAGUCGGAGUUUGGACAAAACCAAAAAGCACACAAAAUCCAAGCGACCAUCUCUAGCUUGGAUAGUCACUUGAUCCCACCUAGAGAUGUGCAUGAGUAAAAGGAUUUGAAAAUGGAAAUUGACUAAAUAUUUAGUUGAUCAAUUAAAUUUGCAAUGUCAUAUGCAAUCCUAAUAGCUAGUCAUCUAAUCAAUUAGGUAGUCAAUCAAGUGUUUGUAAUGACUAUUUUGUACAAAAAACCACAUGUAUAGUUAAAUAUAAUGCAUUUCAUUUAUAAAUCUUCUAAUUCUUGAAUAACGAUCCUAUCAUCCUUUGAAAAUUUUUAUUACACCUUUUUUACUUUUGUUCUAAAACUUACAUAUCACCCUUAAUUGUACCAUGAGAACCUAGCUAUUUUUUUUUUUUUUGUAAUUCAUCAAAGUUAGCUUUUGUAUUCAUUGUUGUAUUAUUUUUAGUAUAACUUAGAAAGCUAGUGUUUUCAAGUGAGUAAAAUUAACUUGUAAAUAUUGUAAAGAUUCAUUGAUAUGUAUCUUAAACUAAGUGUACAAAUUAAAACAUUUGCUAGUAGAUUUUCUCAAAAUUUAGAAUAGAGCUUGAGGCUAUUGAAAUAGGUGGGGUUACACCAAACCACAUCACAUCGUUGUUUGCACCUUUUUUCACUCUCUUUUACUUAGUUUCUCUAUAUUUGUUGUCUAGUAAUAUCCUAUAGGCUUGAUGGGUUAGGGAGCAUCCCUUUGUGAAAAAAUUUCAUUCAAUUCUUAGUUGUAUUACGCAUAUAUAAAAUGCCUCAUUGUUUUAAUGGUAUUCAGUCGUGGCAUCACAGAUAUGGGCAUCUAAAUUUUAAAAGUUUGAAACUUUUGUAAAGCAUGUUGAUAAAAUCCAUGAGAGUUGUGUACUUGGGAAGCAACAUCGAGGUGACUUUAUUUUUUUUUCCUUUUAUAAUGCCACACCUAAGUCCGGUUUCUAAAUGCUAAAGUGAAAGGGUAGGUAUGGACCAUUGAAAUGUGAUCACAACUUUUGGCCUUUUCCUUUCUCUGCAGCCAUGUUGUCUCUUUUUUCUUUUGCAUGAUUUUCUUACCAAAACAGAAUCAUAGACUUGUUUAGUCUCUAAGCUACUAUAUUAUAUCUCGGUGGACUUUUAAGAGUGCAACCGACAUAGAGCACAUGCAAGUGGGCAUAUGGGACAUGAAAUUUCUUCUUACAAAGAUUGCAUGAUUUUUAUAUUAGAGUUGUUCACGUGCAAUGUAUUUAGCUUGUUUUGCAGUUAAAUUAAUUGGAUAAGUAAACAUUGGCAUUUCUAAAUCGACUGUGAAGUGCUUCAUGUACGUGUAAAGUAUUAGAAAUUUCUUUCUUGGCAACUUGUUUUUUCCUUGCCAUCUACUGGUAGGUUUGACUAAAAUUAUAUUCCCUGUCAUGCUAAUUAAUUUUCAUGUGCAUGCUCAAAAGAAGAGUAUGACCUUAGUGCACCAAAAUCACUUUGAUUAAUUUGUGAUAGGUUUUUUUGCAUCAUUUAGAUAAUGUUUAGUUCUAAGAAAAAUUUAUAUAAAAAUGGUUUAUUUAUCUUACAUAUAUAUAUAUAUAUAUAUAUUUUUUUUUUUUUCAUUUUUUUUUCUUCUAUUUUAUUUAUUUAUUUUAUUUUCCUUAUGUUUUCCUCACAUUUUCCGGAACUAAACAUAGUCUUACGAAAUCAACAAUUGCCUUCAACUGAGUAGAUUCUGUUGUUUUAGCAAUGUUAGGCUGCUAACUUGUGGUGGUACGAACCAAAUGACCCAUGUUAAUCUUGGCUUGGUUUGAUUUGGCUCUAUCUCAGAGAGCUAAAGGAUCACGUCAACUCUGGUUUCUACUAUUCAGGUCCAUUCCCAGAUGAACUGGUUCAAAUUUGAGAAAAUGGUAACAGACCUUUAGUGAUGUUGGUUUGGAGCCAGUUGCCAAACCCGCCCUGAGCUUUACCACUAAUGUCAAGGGAGAAAGCCAUUUGAACAAAAACAAUAGCUUCAAGAGACUGAAUCGUGGAUGAAAUCUGAUCCACAUUUCUUCUCAUUUUGGGAAAAAAUGAGAACUUAACUACAAAGAUUCUACUGCCUCAUUCAUAGUGCUUUUCCUGAUCCAAGGUUGGUUCGUUUCCCAAAUUGUGAGGUGCACGUGCCACUCUCACGCUCAGGAGUGUAUCCACGUGGUGGACAUCAGAUGGUGGCUUAAUAUCUGGUGUCGGUGGCUUUACUUUACUAGGAGAGUAGUGUGUCUUCAUCUCAUUCACUGCCGGAGGGUGGCGUAAGCAGUGACGCUAAGGUGGGGCACAGUCAAUAUCAUUUGCAUUUGACCAUUAUAGUUUUCUCCCGGCUUGAAAGUAACCUUAUCGUGAUAAAGGAUUACUAGCACUAGUUCAGAUGACCGUCAUGUUAAUUCGGACCAUGUUUGUGUCACAUUAUCAGCAACCAUGUGUUUAUGGUUCAUGCUAUCUGCAACUAAACUUGAUAUAUAACCAGGUGAACUUCAAUCAAAAUUCUGGAAGUACUCUUGUGAUAGAUGGUGCCUGUCUGCAGAGUCCAUCAAUUGAAAAAUGGAGUGAGUGUAUCUAUAAGAGGGAAGGCUUGGCAAAUGUUCAGUUUUCUGGGAAUUCAACAAGGAUCUAAAAUAGAUUGUUUUCUUUGCCGACUUCAAUGGUUGAAAUUUGAGAAGAUUGUGUCCACAUAUCACAACUAUUACUGGUCCUUCUGUUGCAAUUUAUCCUGUAAGGCUCUAACAUGUCUUCCAAUUCCCACUUCCCUGUUACUCCAGGAAAGCUAUUUCUGUCAUUGUGAAGAAGAAAAGAGAAUGUACAUAUCGAUGCUUUUAAGUGACUGGAGCAUUCAUAUCAGGUGGUCUGCAGCCAUAUAUGCCACUUUGUGAAGGUUGGAACAGUCAAUCACUAGGCUAUAUAUUGGUGUGGCCCAGCCACUUCAAUCAAGGACAAGUCUUCAUACUUAAAGUCAAAUUCUGCCUUUAGUCUCAUUAUAAAUUGCUGUUUAAAUAUUAAGCAAACUUUUGUUUAAUGCGAUUAAGACAGUACUAACUCAAUACUUGUUCUAUUUUUGGAUGCAAAUGCUUGAUGGUUUCAUCAUUGGAUGGGAUAAAGGUGCAUUCAUGAUUAUGAAUACUUGUAGUUAUAUUUUCAUUCUCUUUUUUCUCAAUGAGACUUGUUGGCACAAUGUUGCUGUUCAGAAACCUACCUCUCCAUGGAAAAUAAGUUGCGAUUGAUAGUACUGGAUAUGUUCAAGAAAGCUAAAUAUAGAUAGCACAAAAUAUUAUCGAUAUAAAUAGCAUUAACAGCGUACGUAUGUCUCAAUGCUCAUCAGCUAUAAGCAUGGGACAAACACUUACUAUGAGCAACUUACGUCAAAAUUCCAGAAUAGGACAUAGAAGUGACAGAUCUAUAUAUAUAGAACACUGCAUAUGAGUCACAAGAAAGGAAAUUACGGGUGCAUAGCAGCUCUUAUUUUACAUACUACUACUCAUACUGAUCAAAGUCACUCAGUUGGGAUGGGUGGGAGUAGGAGGUUUGUGGGGUGGCUUGUGCGGAGGAGUUGGCAGCUUCUUUCCAGGACCUGGUUGCUUCUCUGCUGGAGUUGAAGGAGGCUUAAUCUUCCGAGGUGGCUUGUAUGAGUCUUCAGCAUUCUCAGCUGGAGGGUGACCAGGGUUGUGACCAUAAUGUGGUGGCUUCUCUCCCUUAGGUGGUUUGCCAACUGGGGUUGGUGGCUUGUAUGAGUCUUCAGCAUUCUCAGCAGGAGGGUGACCAGGGUUGUGACCAUAAUGUGGUGGCUUCUCUCCCUUAGGUGGUUUGCCAACUGGGGUUGGUGGCUUGUGUUCUGGGAGUGGCUUCUCCCCCUUGGGAGGUUUUUCCAAUGGGGUUGGUUUGUGUUCAGGAGGUGGCUUCUCCACUGGAGGCUUGUGUUCAGGAGGUGGCUUCUCCACCGGUGGCUUGUGUUCAGGAGGUGGCUUCUCCACCGGAGGCUUAUGCUCUGGUGGUGGCUUCUCCACCGGAGGCUUAUGCUCUGGUGGUGGCUUCUUGAAUGGGGGAUGCUGAGGGUAAUCAGCAAGUGAGGGGGCGGUGAGAACCACCAGGCCAAGCAACACCACUAGCAAAUAUGUAGGAGACAUCUUUGGGUUUGGGCUCAGAUGGUGCAAAACUAGGAGAAUUGGCUAGCCUUUUAUAGCGGAUCGUACUCAAUAAUGAAAUGACACGUGUCAUUAUGACCCAUGUGUAAUGGGGUCGAUUUGGGUCCUACAGUGUUGAAAACUUCGACAUCCAGUUUUGGCCUUUUGCUUUCUCUACAGCCGCCUUGCUUUUUCCCUCUUUCCUUUUGUUUUCCUCCUGCCCCAUUCUAUCAACUAAACACAAUUAUGUAGUUGUUUAAUUCUUAAAUGAGAUAUUAUCGGUCAAUCGUAUUAUAUUUUAUCAAGAGAGAACGGAGUGCAAUGCAGCUGUAAUUUUAUCGUUUACUUUUAUCUCUUGGACCACUGCAUUUUUGUUAAGAGGUGCAAUAAUACACGUCUUUAUCUGCCAUUCAAUGUUUACAGUAAAGAGAGGGCACAAAACUCUUCACUGCUCUGCAUGUGUCCCAAAAAUGCGAUUGGACAAAUUAUGAUUUGCAUGCUAAAAAGAGGCAAAUGAGGUUAAUUCGCACCAUAAUUAUUUGGUUUUCUGGACACCAUAAAAAGAUGUUAUACAGGCAGGGAAAAACCUUCAGAGUUAGCUACCAAAGAUAAUUAUCAAGCAGAUAUCACCAAGAGAAUUCCAUAGAGUCUGAAUCAAAGACAGAUUGCUCGCUCGUGGGGGUUCUUACUUUCUUUUGGGUAUAACUCACUGAGGUCACUGUCUUUUUUAUUUGCAUUUCACAGUUAGAGUUCUGCUCUGGAAGGUUUGUUCUGGAAACAUAUAAAAGGAGCAUCAUUUUGUUCUUGGGUAACCCAUAGUCGUGAGUGGGUCCAUUUGCAUGCUACUUAGUUGAAAAGUUGGACAAUUUGCUCCGACGCCUACCUCCUGGAUUCCAUGCUCGGUAAAACAAGAAUAAAAAAAAAUAUAUAAUUUACAAAUGGGGGAAAGAAAAAAUGUCGGAAAAAAUAGUAAAAUUCAUGUCACAUGCUAGUGAGAGAAGGGGUUGUUACACUCACUCGAAGUUCUUUUCAAAAUAUCGAAUGGUAUUUUACUUUAUGUGUCAGCGCAGUUGUGAAUGGAACGUGCAAAAGUCCAAAUUGGCGUUUUUAUUUUUCCCAUGUAGGAUGGUGACCUUUAAUAAAUAUUUAAAACAAAAGACGAAAAAAAAAAGGAGGGAAAAGGGAUCACAAAAGAUAAAAUAAUGUUUACAAAAGCUCAAUUAGUUUGCAAAUUACUGUUUGGAUUUUGAUAGUAUUUUAUUUGUCGUUCUAUAUUUGAUGUAAAAGAGAAUUUAAGAUAUUUCCGAAGCAAAAGCAUUAGUUUGCUCUGUGAUGUCCCACAUCGAAUAGGGGAGAAAGUUUCUGGCGCUAUAUAUGUAGAGGCUCCUCUUAACCAAGUAGAUGCGUUUUAAAACCAUGAGGGCCCCCUUAGGUCCAAAGCGGACAAUAUCUACAUGAUUGGGUGUAAGUCAUUACAAAUGGUAUCAGAGCCGAUCCCCGACCCCGGUGUGGGGGUUUGUUUGGCCCUGUAAGGGGUGUUUGUCUGUUUGACCCCACAAUCCCAUGGGACACAACGAGGACGUUGUGUCUGCAUGGGGGGGCGUUUGUGAUGUCCCACAUCGGAUAGGGGAGAAAGUUCCUAGUGCUAUAUAUGUAGAUGUUUCUCUUAACCAAGUAGAUGCAUUUUAAAAUUGUGAGGGCCUCUUUGGGCCCAAAGCGGACAAUAUCUACAUGGUUGAGUGUAAGUCAUUACAUGCUCCAUGUCAAUUUCAGCAUUUCUCAUAUGUUUCACACAUACACAGAAGAGCAUCGUUUUUUAAAGCAUGCAUUUAUGUUGGAUUAAUUUGGAUUUUGUGGGAACUGGGGCAAGGAUCACAUGGAAGAGAGGUUGACUUUUUUCAGUACUUCAAUGGUUGAAAUAUGUGAAGGCUUGAUUGAUACUAAAGCUUGAAAUUGCGACUCUGUCAUUUGUAAAAAAAUAUGACAGCUUCCAUGCUCUCGUUUGGUUGCAUUGUCCGGUCGAGAGGUGCAAAAAGCAUUCUCUCUCUUCUAAUAGUCUUUUCGUUUAAAUCAAGGGAUUUGCCUUCCCGGUCGAGGUCCAAUAGAGGGUAACGGUCACCUACUAAACAUUAAAUGCUCCAACAACUAGUGAACUGAUCGACCCCAGCUCGACUAGUUGAGGUUACUUUUUGGUUUUCUUGUCUCCCGAGGUUAGAAACCUAUAAAUAGAGAGCUUCACUUCAUUUAUGAGUAAGAGAACACCUAAAUUUAUUUGUUUACCUACUUGUUUUUGCCAUAAAAGCUCUCAUUUCUUUUCUUGGUGUAUUAAAUCUCCAUUUGCAUAUCCUUUAGUGCACCUUUGUGAUUCAUUCUAGCCUUGAGUUGUAUUUAAGCCUUUGUUGAGCUAGGUUGAGAGUUUCAUACUUGUUUAUUGAGUGUUAAAGCCUUCAAGUGAGUUAAAACUUGAAGAGAUUGUGUAAGAGCCCAUUGGAGUCGGAAUCCAAGUGUAAAGGUGAUUAAAAGCUUGGUUGAAGCUUCAAGUUAGUGGAACUCUCACUCGGUUAUGAGCUUGAGAAGAGUGGACAUAGACAAGGCAGUGUCGAACCACUAUAAAAUCUGAGUUUGAUUUCUCUAACCUUAUCUCUUUAUAUUUGCUUCUCUUGUGCUUAAAUUUUUUGUGUUUAAAAAGAAUUUUUAAAAACUCAAUUCACCCCCUUCUUGGGAGUUUUUCUCUUUUAAGAUCAGCUUUUAUUUUCUCAAUUGGUAUCAGAACUAUGCCUCUUGUUUAAGACUUAAUCGUCUAAGAGGAAAUGGCUAAUCCAUCAAGUUCAUCUCACAUUGAAAGUUUUGCAACCAAUAGACUUCUUUUUUUUUUUUUGCGGGAACUGAUUAUCCCUAUUGGAAAACUAAAAUGACUUGGUUUUUACAAUCAAUUGAUUUAGAUGUAUGAGAUGCCAUUGAAGAUGACCUAACUUUUCCUUCAAAACUAGUUGAUGGAGUCAUGGUUCCAAAACCUAAGCAAGAAUGGGAUGAGCGUGAUUGAAGAAAUUUUCAAUUAAAUGCUAAAGUCGUUUAUACUUUGCAAUGCUCUAUGGACAGAAAUGAAUAUAAUAGAAUAUGUCAAUGCAAAUCGGUUAAAGAAAUUUGGAGAUUGCUUGAAAUAACUCAUAAAGGAACAAAUCAAGUUAAAGAGUCAAAAAUCAAUUUACUUGUUCAUAGAUAUGAAUUGUUUUUUAUGAAAGAUAAUGAAACUAUUGUUAAGAUGAUCACUAGGUUCACCAACAUUGUUAAUGGUCUUAAAGCCUUGGGAAAGACCUACAAGGAAUCCGAAAACGUGAUGAAGAUCUUGAGGUCACUUCCAUCAAAGUGGCAUACCAAGGUCACCGCAAUUUAAGAAGCAAAAGACUUGAUCAAGCUACCUUUGGAGGAGUUCAUAGGGUCAUUGAUGACAUAUGAAAUCAAUUUGGCAAAGAAGUAACAAAAAGGUGAAGACAAAAAGAAGAAGAACAUAACUCUCAAAGCUACAACUAAGGAAGAAGAAGUUGAAGAAGAAAAACAAAUUGAAGAAGAUGAAGAUUUAGCCCUCAUCACAAGAAAGUUCAACAAAUUCAUGAGGGGUGAAAGGUUUAGAAGAAGAAGGUUCACUUCUAGAAGAGACUUUUCUAAAAAGGAAUCUUCAUCUAAUGGUGACAAAAAGAGAUGGGAAGAGAAAAGAGACUUGGUGUGUUUCAAGUGCAAGAAACCGGGACACAUUAAAUAUGAUUGUCCUCUCUACAAAAGUGAAGUCAAGAGGAAAAAGAAUAAGGCAAUGAUGGCCACUUAGAGUGAAAGUGAAGAUGAAUCAUCCGAAGAAGAAAAUGAGAAAGAAGUGGCAAACAUGUGUUUCAUGGCAAUAGAUGAACUUGAUGAGGUAAAAUCUAACCUUAGUGAUUAAGAUAUACAUGAUGCAUUUGAAGAAUUGUAUGAGGAUUUUUAAAAACUUAGUUUGAAAAAUAUUUCUCUUAAAAAGAAAGUUCAACAACUUGACAAAGAACUUAGAGAAGUAAAAGAAAAAUUUUCAAAUGUUAAAGUUUCUAAAACUCAUCUUGAAAAAGAAAAUGAGAUUCUAAGAAAGAAAAAUGAAUAGUUGAACUCCUCUCUUUCAAUCUUUUCUUCUAGACAAAAAUCUUUUGAAAUGAUUCUAACUAGCUAAAAAUGUGUUUUUGACAAACAAGGGUUAAGAUUUAAAUCUUCAAAAAAUCAAAAGUAUUUUAAAAACUAUUUUGUAAAGGAAUCCACAAGUGCAAGUCCUUCCACUACUUGCAACUUUUGUGGAAGAGAAUGGCACAUUAGUAGUACGCCCUUUAAGAAAUGGUUCUCAAAAGAAUUUAAAUGCAAAAACUAAAAAAGAUUUGGAUUGAGAAAUCCAAGGUCACUAACCCUCAAGGACCCAAAAAGAUAUAGGUACCUAAAUCAACUUGAGUUUUAUGUUGUAAGGUUCAAAGAAUGAUAAGUGGUUCUUAGAUAAUGGUUGCUCAAGACACAUGACCGGAGAUGAAUCCAAGUUUGCUUUUCUUAAAAAGAAAAAUGGAGGAUAUGUUACCUUUGGAGACAAUGCAAAAGAAAGGAUGAUUGGUCAAGGCAACAUUGGUAAUGGCACAUCCUCUCUCAUUGAAAGUGUUUUAUUAGUAGAUGGUUUCAAACAUAACCUUUUAAGCAUUAGUCAAUUUUGCGACAAAGGUUUUUAAGUGAUUUUUUAAGCAUCUCAUUGCAUCAUCAAGGAUAUUCAAAAUGAUAAAACCAUUUUCAUGGGCCAUAGAUGUGAUAAUGUUUAUGCUAUAAAUAUUUCAAAAUAUGAUGGCCAUGAUAGAUGUUUUUCAAGCAUGCAUGAUCAAAGUUGGUUGUGCCAUAGGAGAUUGAGACAUGCUAACAUAGACCUCAUUUCCCAACUCAACAAAGAUGAACUUGUUAGAGGCCUUCCCAAAAUAAUUUUUUAAAAAGAUAAAGUUUGUGAAGCUUGUCAAGUGGGAAAGUAAAUCAAAAACUCUUUUAAAAACAAAAACUUCAUUUCCACAUCUAGGCCACUUGAGUUGUUGCAUAUGGAUUUAUUUGGUCCCUCUAGGACACCAAGUCUUAGAGGAAAUUCUUAUGCAUAUGCUAUUGUGGACGACUUCUCUAGAUACACAUGAGUCUUGUUUUUUAGUCAAAAGAAUAAAGUUUUUUAUGAGUUUUCAAAGUUUUGCAAUAAGAUUCAAAAUGAAAAAGGUUUUUCAAUUACUUAUAUAAGAAGUGAUCAUGGGAGAGAAUUCGAAAAUAUUGAUUUUGAAGAGUAUUGCAAUGAGCAUGGAAUUGACCACAAUUUUUUGGCUCUUAGAACUCCUCAACAAAAUGGGGUAGUUGAAAGGAAAAAUAGAACUCUUCAAAAAAUGACAAGAACCAUACUAAAUGAAAACAACUUACCAAAAUAUUUUUAGGCCAAAACGGUUAACACUUCUUGUUAUGUUUUAAAUAGAGUAUUAUUGAGGCUCAUACUUAAGAAAACUCCCUAUGAGCUUUGGAAAAACAAAAAACCCAACAUUAGUUAUUCCAAAGUCUUUGGAUGCAAUAUUUUAUAAUAAACACCAAAGACAAUCUUGGAAAAUUUGAUGCAAAAUUGGAUGUUGGAAUUUUCCUUGGUUACUCAACUUCAAGUAAAGCUUUUCGAGUUUUAACAAAAGAACCAUGGUUGUAGAGGAGUCCAUCCAUGUUAUUUUUUAUGAAUCUCCAAGAAAGAGAGAGGAUUGAUGAUGAUUUAGGUUUGAAGACCUCUAUAGGAAGAUUGCAAAUCGAAGAUAGAAGACAACAAGAAGAAAAUGGAGAGAAUCCAAAGAAAGAAGGAUCACCAUUGGCACUACCCCCUCAUCAACAAGCGCAAGGUGAAUCAAGUCAAGAGCUUCCUAAAGAAUGGAAGUUUGUCAUCAAUCACCCACAAGAUCAAAUUAUAGGCAAUCCAUCUAGUGGGGUAAGAACUAGAUCCUCUCUUAGAAAUAUUUGCAAUAAUCUAGCUUUUAUCUCUCAAAUUGAGCCUAAAAAUAUAAAUGAUGUUUUAGAUGAUGAAAAUUGGAUAAUUGCAAUGCAAGAAGAGUUAAAUCCAUUUGAAAGAAGUGGAGUAUGGGAAUUAGUACCAAGACCUUCAAAUCAAAGUGUUAUUGGAACUAGAUGGAUCUUUAGAAAUAAAAUGGAUGAAAAUAGCAUAAUUGUUAGAAAUAAAGCAAGAUUGGUAGCCCAAGGUUUUAAUCAAGAAGAAAUGAUAGAUUAUGAAGAAACCUUUGCCCCCGUAGCUAGGUUGGAAGCCAUUAGGAUGCUACUUGCCUUUGCAUGUUUUAAAGACUUUGUUUUAUAUCAAAUGGAUGUGAAAAGUGCUUUUUUAAAUGGUUUUAUAAAUGAAGAAGUAUAUGUUGAACAACCACCCGGUUUUCAAAGUUUCAACUUUCCUAACCAUGUUUUUAAACUUAAAAAGACACUUUAUGGUUUGAAACAAGCACCUAGAUCAUGGUAUGAAAAAUUGAGUAAAUUUCUUUUGAAAAAAAUGUUUUAAAAUGGGAAAAAUUGACACAACUCUUUUUAUAAAAACCAAAGAAAAUGAUAUGCUCUUAGUUCAAAUAUAUAUUGAUGAUAUCAUUUUUGGUGCUACUAAUGUCUCUCUUUAUGAAGAAUUUUCUAAGUGCAUGCAUAGUGAGUUUGAAAUGAGCAUGAUAGGAGAACUCAACUUCUUCCUUGGACUUCAAAUCAAGCAACUAAAGGAAUGAACCUUCAUCAAUCAAGCAAAGUAUAUAAGAGAUCUUCUCAAAAGGUUCAACAUGGAAGAAGCCAAAACAAUGAAGACUCUAAUGAGCUCAUCCAUUAAGCUUGAUAAGGAUGAGAAAGGUAAAUCCAUUGACUCUAUUAUGUAUAGAGGCAUGAUAGGUUCUUUGCUCUAUUUGACCACUAGUAGACCUUACAUUAUGUAUAGUGUGUGUUUGUGUACUAGAUUUCAAUCUUGUCUUAAAAAAUCUCACUUAAGUGUCGUGAAAAGAAUCCUCAAAUAUUUGAAAGGGACAAUGGACAUAGGCUUAUGGUAUCCUAAGAGUGAUAACUUUGAAUUAAUUGGUUUUUUGGAUGCUGAUUUUGUCAGUUGUAGGGUUGAAAAAUAAAACACUAGUGGCACUUUUCAUUUCUUAAGACACUUACUUGUCUCAUGGCAUAAUAAGAAGCAAAAUUUGGUAGCUUUGUCAACAGCAGAAGCUAAAUACAUAGCAACUGGUUUAUGUUGUGCACAAAUCCUUUGGAUGAAAUAAACACUUAGUGAUUUUGAUUUAUCUUUUGAGCAUAUUCCUAUUAAAUGUGAUAAUAGUAGUGCCAUAAGUAUAUCAAAAAAUCUCGUGCAACACUCUAGGACUAAGCAUAUAGAGAUUAGACAUAAUUUUCUUAGAUAUCAUACACAAAAGGAUGAUAUAACACUUGAAUUUGUAAGCAUAAAAGACCAACUUGCCGAUAUCUUUACAAAACCUCUAAGAACAUUUUGUUGAUAUUAGAGGACAAUUAGGAGUGAUUUCUUUAUGAUCUAAUGUGAUGAAUUCUUGAUGAAUAUACUUUUUGAUUGCAUGAAUUUCAUGUCAUAUAUGCAUCAUAUAGAAAUAUACUUAGAUAAUGGUCAAAUUUCGACCAAAAAUCAAAAUUCCCAUGGCAUUAGGCAUAAAAAUUUUGGAAUUUCAACUGAAAAUGGUAGGAGGAGGAUCACAAAAUGAGAAAGUAUGCAAAAAUUGAAAAAUCAAAACGUUGACCAAGCGGUCAAUCGGACUAGACCGAUCGACUAGUUUGUCGAGAUUUAGGAUUUUUAAGAGACUCCAACGCUUCAAUUUUUGCACCGUUCUCCUCUAUUUCUUCACGGUUUCUCUGAUUUUGUCUUUUAGAGACUAAUUUGAGUGCGUUUUGGAUCAAUUGAAGCAUUUUGGAUUGGAUUUUAGGAAGAUUGAAAGUUAAGGUUUCGGAUUUGGGUCGCCUUCUCUUCCUCUCGCGUGUCACAAUCAGCUUUAGCAUUGUUCUCUUUCCAUUUUCACACACCUAGGGUUUCAGUUGUGAGCAUCUCUCUCUCUUUACCAACCACUACUCCCUUGCUUCUUCCAUAUGGCUCCUAGGCGAGAGUCCGCUACUUCUAGGGCACAAGGCAAGCACCCAACUGAGUCGUCUCAGUCAAAGGCACGUCGAAAAGUGAGAUUUGACAUUGCCUUGUUCAGUUCCAUGGAGGACUACCAACUAUACAAGCAACACUUUGCUUAGAGACGAGUAGUUCCCAAGAGAAAUAUUAAUUUUCCUCAACUUCAGCAUUUCGAAUUUAAGGGUCUAUUUACUAGGAUGGUUGGUUGUCUAUUGUCACAAUUUCGGAGCCGGUUUUCCUGACCUUAGUGCGAGUUUUUUACUCGAGGGCGACUUAUGGCAUGGGUGGCAUGAUCAUUUCUACUGUUGGAGGAGUUGAGAUCUGUCUGGACCCAGAGAGCAUCUGCCAUAUUUUCGAUAUUGCUCUGGUUGGACUCAAAGUAUACAAGUCCAAAAUGUGGCCCAUUGUGCCAGGAUUUGAGCUUAGAGAGGUCAUUCAGAGGAUUUGUGAACUUCCAGACGCCCAGGAGAUGGGCAAACCAUUGCCACACAGUUUGACGGUCAUCAACAGGGUGCUACACCAUAUAUUGUGCUCUAUCUUUCUACCACGAAGUGGACAUUGAGAUGAGGUCUCUUAUUAUGAGGCAUUCCUUAUUGACUCCAUUCUAACGGAGAGACGAAUUCAUCUACUAUGUCAUCAUUCACUAAGCCUCCUCACAGUGACAUACCACCUCAUCAGGCACCUCUUGCUCCUGACCAUGCUCCAUUGAUGGAUUUAUUUACUCAUAUUAGCUCUCUAGGCACUCGCAUGAAGGAGUUUGUUGUAGUUAGUGAUACAUGGUUCUACUCCAUAGAGGAUCGCAUGGAUCAGUAUCAGACUGGCUUCACGUCACAGUUUGAGUAUCUCCAAUAGAGGAUUGAGCAUAUUGAGGAUCACUUGAGCAUGAGAAGAUGAUGGCUUUUCUAUGCUCUGUGUUUCCACCUCCACCUCGUCAACCUUGAUUUCUUAGAGACCCAUUGUUUUCAUUUUGUAAUGUUGCCAAAAGGGGGAGAUAUUUAGGAUCUAGGACUCUAUAGGAGACUUACAUGCAUAUCAUUUUCAUAUCAUUGUUUGGAUCGUACAUAUUGGAUAGUGAUACUUUUUACUUAUAUAUGAUAUGCCUAUAUGUUUCAUGUCUUACAUUGUUUCUUAUUGCAAAUUAUCUCUAACAUGUCUUGAUUAUCUUUUUUUUAACUUCAUAAAUUUUGAUUGUUAACCCAUGAUUGGUUUGAGGGGAAGAUUCUUCUUCUCCUAGAUAACCAAGGUUUGUCAUCAUAAAAAAAUUGGAGAUUGUUAGCCCAAGGGUUCUCCUAAUCAUGUUUUGAUGAUAACAAACCAUGCUUAAGUUACUAAUUGGUUUGAAUUAUAAAGAAUUUCAAGUGUUAAUUUGAAAAUUCAUCAAAGAACCUAAUGGAUGCAAGAUCAAGAUUUUUGGAAGACCUUUAAUCAUAAGAAACAUAUGUAAGAUGAAUGCAUGGGUGCACUUAAGAUUUGCAUAUCAUUUCAUGCAUAUUUGGAAAACACGGUUUAUGCUUUAAAGUUACAUUUCCAUCAAAAUUUGAGAUCCAUCAAAUGAACCUUAGGAAAAAUGUUUUAAAAUUGGCAUAUAAUUUUACCUAAAGACCUUGCCUAAGUGUUAGAAGCAAAAGGACAAAAAAAAUAUAGGUUUUCUGGUCAAAAAUGGUGAACCAGUCAAGGCAUUGUCUAAAUCAGCUCAAUCGGCCAAGGUACCGGUCGAUCGGUUUCCCUUUCCCUGUCGAGAUCUAGUCAAGAGGUACAAAAAUCACAAUCUCUGUCUCUUUCUCUCUUUGUCUAUCUUCCAGUAGUCUUUCCUUCCCGGUCGAGGGAUUUGCCUUCCCGAUUGAGGUCCGAUUGAGAGUAAUAGUCACUUGCCAAAUAUUAAAUGCUCCAACAGUUAGUGAACUGGUCGACCCCCACCUUGCCCAGUUGAGGUUACUUUUUGGUUUUCUUGGCUCCCGAUGUUAGAAACCUAUAAAUAGAGAGUUCCACUUCAUUUAUGAGCAAGAGAACACUUGCAUUUAUUUGUUUACCUACUUGUUCUUGCCUUAAAAGCUCUCAUUUCUUUUCUUGGUGCAUUAAAUCUCCAUUUUGAUAUCCUUUAGUGCACCUUUGUGAUUCAUCUUAGCCUUGAGUUGUAUUUGAGCCCUUUUUUUAGCUAGGUUGAGAGUUUCAUACUUGUUAAUUGAGUGUUAAAGCCUUCAAGUGAGUUGAAACUUGUAGAGAUUAUGUGAGAGUCGAUUGGAGCCGAAAUCCAAGUGUAAAGGUGAUUAGAAGCUUGGUUGAAGCUUCAAGUUAGUGGAAUCCUCACUCAAUUAGGAGCUUGAGGAGAGUGGACGUAGCCAAGGAAGUGUCGAACCACUAUAAAAUUUGAGUUUGAUUUCUCUAACAUUGUCUCUUUAUAUUUGUUUAUCUUGUGCUUAAAUUUAUUGUGUUUAAAAAGAAUUUUUAAAUACCCAAUUCACCCCCCUCUUGGGUGUUUUUCUCUUUUAAAAUUAGCCUUUAUUUUCUCACAAACUAUUGUAGUAUAGUGGUUUUUAGGUGUCAUCCAUUAGGAUGAAUUGUUCUCGGUAAUUAAGGCGUGAAUGAGAGGAGAAUUAAUGAUUGUGAUUAAGUAAAAUUGAUUUGAAAAUUCAUGGUGAAAAAUCAAUUUAACAAUGGUUUCUAAUUGAGAAAAACAAUGAAAUGUGAAAUAAAAUAAAAUUAAUAGGAAAUGAAAUUCUCGAAGUUAGAAUUUUCUAAAAAACAAAUUCCAUGGUGAAUGGAUGUUGAGAUCUAAUUUUCAUCAAGUUAGAUUGAAAACCGAAAUUUUCAUAUAAACUGAUUUUUUAUUUAGUUUUAGGUCUAGAUUUAAUUUCCCUUAAAAUUAGGUUAUUUAAUCCAAGAAAUCAAUUCAAAUCAUAUAUUCAAUUCAUCUUAAAUUAUCUUCCAAUUAUUCACACAAUGCAACUAUUCAAUCUCAUCAAAUCUAGCUUUUAAGAAUUUAAUGAAUCUACCUAGUUUGCAUUGUAAUAGUCAUCCAUGACAAUUUGAAGAGAAAAAUAAUUCAAUUAAUCAAUCACUUGGAUCAAAUUACCUUUGCAAUUAAAGUUCAUUUCUCUAAUUCACCACAGAUUUUGUCUCUAGAUCCUCCUUUCUCAAAGAAAAAUGAGAUUUAGCCACACAUGAUUGGAGAUUUGGUCUCAUAAGGCAUGUUUAGCUAGUGAUAAAAUGAGAGAAAAUAAAGAAAAAUAGAGAAUUCGAUUAAGAAAGAAAAUCUAAAAAAUUCUACAAUUAGAAAUGUCCAAAAAGCUUUUUCAUGAGAAAAUCAAGUUUCUAUUUAUAGGCCAAGGUCAAGUGGACACUUGACAUCAUCUAAGAGGUCUUCCGGAAGCUUCUUCAUCAAGAAAUCUGGAGUUUAAUAAUAAAAUGGUCAUUUCACAAGAGCUCAAACAAUUUCGCAUGAUUAUGUGAAAUAAAAAAUGCAACAACAGCAAUUUACAUCUUCUUGGAGCAUUUCGCAUGACUGUGUGAAAUUUUCACAUGAUCAUGUGGAAUCGACUUGACAACUCUCAUUUAGCCUACAACAUAAUUCCACCUUUUGGUCCAUUUUUCAUAGUCAUGCGAAAUGGAAAUAUUUGAUUUUUAAGUUUUCUUUUGUCAUUUCUUUCAUUUCCUUCUCUUGAUUCCACUUCAACUACCUCCGAAUCCUGGUCCAAACCAAUUGCAUUACUUCUUUCAUUAUGCAUUUGGAUCAUCAUCAACAUUAUUUGUUCUCUUCAAUUUGAUUCAUCUCUUUUGUCACCAAUUUAUCAAAAUCAUACCUUGAAAUGACUCCAAAACUUCAUAAAACUUGUUAGUAACUCUUGCAAGGGCAACAACAUAUUAAUUAAGUGUUUUAGGCAUAGUUACUACUCAAAAGAUGCGAAACUCAUGAUAAUUAUUAUAUAAAAUAUGCUCUUUUUGAGUAGUAAUCAACUUUCUUGCAUAAGCAGACCUUUUAGGGUGGAGUACUAAAGACCAAUAUGCUUGUCCUUGUUGUAAUAAAGAAACUUGCUCUUAUUGAUUGCACCAUGGGAGAAAAUUUUGCUACAUGAGUUAUCAUCAAUUUCUUCCCACCAAUCAUAGAUUUAGACGUGACAAGAGGCCUCUUAAUGGCAAGGAGGAACUGACACUCACACUUAUACAAUUAUCGGGCAUUGAUGUGUUGCAACAAUUAGAAUAACUUACACCAAUUAUGUUGGGGAAGUCACAAAAGGCAAACAUGAAAACUAAAAGGAAAAAAGAAAAAUGUUACAUAUCACCACAACUGGAAAGAAAAAAGUAUUUACUUUCAUUUGCCAUAUUGGAAAGCACUUAUUUUACAUCAUAAUAAUUUAGACAUAAUGCAUAUUGAGAAAAAUGUGUGACAAUAUAAUUGAGACAUUGUUCAGUAUUGACGAAGAAACAAGGACAACCUAAAUAGUCAUCUCGAUUUACAAGCUCUAACUAUUAGAAAUGAGAUUCACCCAAUAGAAAGCAGGACCAAAUUUAUUUUGCUUGCAACAUGCUACUCACUCACCCCAAAUGAGAUUAAGGAAUUUUGCAAGUUUUUGAAAUCAAUAAAGGUCCCCAAUGGCUAUUCUUUCAAUAUCUCUCGUUAUGUGCAACUCAAUGAAAGGAAGAUAUAUGAGCUCAAAUUGUAUGAUUGUCAUGUCCUAAUGCAACAACUUCUCUCACUUGUAGUUCGUGGAGUUCUACAUAAGAAUGUUUGUGGAGUUAUCAUAGAAUUGCGUAAUUUUUUCAAGCAAUUGUGCUCAAAGGUGUUAGAAACAAAUCACUUACACCAACUUGAGAACAAUAUUAUUGUCAUACUAUGUAAAAUGGAGCAAAUAUUUCUUCCAUCAUUCUUUGAUAUUAUGGUGCAUUUACUUGUGCAUCUAGUAAGGCAAAGGUUGCAAGACUUGUGCAAUAUUGUUGGAUGUACCUAAUUGAACGAUAUUGUUAUAAUUUCAUAUGAAUCAUUUAAUUUUAUUUUAUAUUAUGUUCAGUUCAUUAACAUGUACAUUGGUCUACAUAUGGAUGAUGAUAGGUACCUAAGCACUUUAAAGUCAUAUGUGCGUAAUAGAACUUUUCUAGAAGGUUCUAUUGUAGAAAGGUACCUUGCAAAAGAAUGUACAACAUUUUAUUCUAGGUACUUGAAUGAUGUGGAAAUAAAGUAUAAUCACAAUGAUAGAAACUUUGUUGGUUUCAACACUAGAGGAGAUGAAAGGGGUUAUCUUUAAACAUAUUGGACAUGCAUUGGGAAAGCCCAUAUUUCAUUAACUUAGUUCAAAAGAGUGGUCACAAGCACAUUUAUAUGUGUUGACAAAUUGCGAAGAUGUCAUACCAUUCAUUGAGUAAAAAAUUUAUUUGAAUUUUAAUUAAAGCUCUAGUUUAUAUCCUUAAUCAAUGUUUUUUAAAUUCACAAGGAGCACAAGCAAACCAUCAAGGCUAGACCACAUAUACGUGUUUGAGACGUAGAUUUAAUUCAUAACAAGGAAUUUAUCAAGUGGUUUGAAAGACAUGUAAGUAUAUUCCUUAUUAUAAGGGAUUUAUUUCACAUUAUGUUUAUAUUGAAUCCAAACCUAUUAUUGAAUUGUAGGUUGAACAAUUACAUAAUGAAGGUCAUAUAUCUGAACACCUUCUCACAUUAUCAUGUGUUCCAAAUUCAUUAGUUACAUGCUUCAAAUGAUAUAUUGUCAAUGGAUUUAGAUCCCACAUUAAAGAACGUGAUAAAAAAGUUUUUAAAAAAAGACUCAGAAUAAUGGAAUUGUUGUAGUUGCAAAAACGUCAAGCUUUACAAGUGCAUGUGAUAUGAGUCCAAUUAUUAGUGAUGCUCUCUACUAUGGUGUUCUAACUAAAGUUGUUGAGUUACAUUAUCUUGGUGAAAAUAAGGUUGUUUUAUUCGAGUUUGAUUGGUGGGAUGUUACAAAUAUUGGAAAAUUGAUAAAAGAUGAUGAGUACAAUUACACAUUUGUUAACUUUGCAUGAAUUCUAACCACGAACGAACGAUUUGUACUUGCAUCUCCAGCAAAGUAAGUGUUCUAUGUGAAGAAUGCGAAUGAAUCAGAUUGGCAUACUAUCAUGGAGAUGCAACCUCAAGACCUCUAUAAGAUGAACGGGAUAGGAUCCAAUGGUGAUUUUGAACCAUUUCAACAAAGUGAACUACAUGAUCACUAAUAUAUCUCAGAUUUAGUUGAUGAAGAUAUAAUCAAGUGGAACAAAAGUGAUGUUUUAGGACUAAUCAUCCUAAAAAAUAUUGUAGUUUCUUAAAAAAAAAAUGAAAAUGAAGAAGAUAAUUGAACCUUUGUCAUACUUUAAAAAGCAACUAUGCAUUGUUCAUUUUGUAUGUUUUGGUUUUCUUCAUUUAAUUUCCUGAUUUUUGUGAUUCAAUGUCAUAUUAUUGAUCUUGAAAUAUUUUUCUAAUUUUUCAUUCUACGAUGGUUUCAACAAGGAUGACAUCAAGUCAAAAAAGGAAAUGUGGUCCCACACACAAUAUUGCAUUACAGGGAUUAAGGUCAGGGAAGAAGGUAAAAGUUGCAUUUAAUGAGUACAAUCAAUUGGUUAAACAGAAAAAUGGAAAACACUUAUCGAGCUACAUAGGGACACUUGUAUCUAACCAACACAAUGUACCUCUCCAAGCUAGUGAUUGGAAAAAUGUUCCAAAUGAUGCAAAAGAGAAAGUAUGGCCUUUGUUUUGGUAUGUUGUAUUUCUCACUAUAUGAUGUCAUUUCACUGUUAUUCUAUUUUGUGACUAACGUUUGAAUCAUAUGUAAGAAAAAUUUGAAGUAGAUAAAGACUGAAAAGAUUACAUGUUGGGUAUAGCCUCAAAUAAAUAUAGAAGCUAUAAAAAUAUGAUGAAUGCAAAAUACUAUGACCCUUGGCAUAAGGAUGCAUGAGGAGAGGUUAAUACAUAAAUCACCAUUUGUCUCUGAUGUUGAUUGGAAGUGGCUUGUCUCUGAUGCAUAAACCAAAUCCCCCACUGAAUGUUUGAUAUUUGAUAGCAGGAAAAACACACCCGCAGCUAUACACCUCCAUCAUUCAGAUAAUUAUAGUGGGGGAGAUGAUUCAUGGUUGCCCUUAUACCCUUUAUUUGCACCAUCUAUUGAGAUUCUUUAUCAUGGCCAGGUUUUACUGCAGCAAUAAGAUAUGGUGGCAACAAUUUUAUCUAUAGGUGCGGUUCCAGACCGCCUCCAUAGGUGCGGUUCCUGACUGCCUCCAUAGGUGCCUCUUCUUGUAAUGUUUGUUCUGGGAAUUACACUUGAAAGCCUUAUCGUGAUAAGGGAUUACAAACACUAGUUCAGAGGACAGCCAUGUUAAACUUCCACUAUGUUUGUGUCACAUUAUCAGCAGCCUAGUGUUUAUUGGUCAUGCUAUCUGCAACUAAUAUAACCCGGUGAACUUCAAUCUAAAUUCUGAAAGUACUCAUGUGACAGAUGGUGCCUUUCAGCAGAUAUCAUCAAUUUAAAAGUAGUGUGUGUGCCUAUAGGUGGGAAGGCCUUGGCAAAUGUUCAGUAUUCCGGUAAUUCAAGAAGGAUAUAUCUAAAAUAGAUUUUCUUCUUGCCCAUUUCAAUAGUUAAAAUUUGAGAAGAUUGUGUCCACAUCACACAAAUAUUAUUGGUCCUUCUGUUGCAAUUUACCUCUGAACAUGUCUUCCAAUUCCCACGGUCCUGUUACUCCAGGAAAACUAUUUCGGUCAUAUUGAAAAAAAAAAUAUUAAAGAAGGUACACAUGCUUUUAAGUGGACUGGGGCAUUCAUAUCAGGUGGUCUGUAUCCACAUAUGCCACUUCGUGAAAGGUGGAACAGCCUAAUCACUAGGCUAUUUAGUGUGGCCCAGCCACGUUAAUCAAGCACAAGUCUUCAUACUUAAAGUCAAAUGGUGUCUUUAGUCUCAUUACACAUCGCUAUUUGAAGAUUAACUCAUCACUAGUGUAAUGCGAUUAAGACAGUCCUAACUCAAUAUUUGUUCUAGUUUUGGAUGCAAAUGCUUGCUGGUUUCAUCAUUGGAUGGGAUAAAGGUGCAAUCAGGACUAUGAAUACGUGCAGUAAUACUUCAUUCUCUUUUUUCUCAAUGAGACUUCUUGGCACAAUUUUGCUGCUCAGCAACCUACCUUUCCAUGGAAAAUCAGUUGUGACUGAUAGUAAUGGAUAUAUUCUAGAAAGCUAAACAUAGAUAGCAUUCAAUAUUAUCGAUAUAACAUUAACAGCGUAUGUCUCAAUGCUCAUCAGCUACAAGCAAUGGACAAACACUUUGAGUAACUCACAGCAGUCAAAAUUCCUAAACAGGACAGACGUGACAGAUCUAUAUAUAGAACACUGCAUAUGAGUCACAGGAAAAGAUAAUACGGGUACAUAGAAGCUCUUAUUUUACAUAUUACUCAUACUGAUCAAAGUCGCUCAGUUGGGAUGGAUGGGAGAAGGAGGUUUGAGGGGUGGCUUGUGCGGGGAAGUUGGCAGCUUCUUUCCGGGAGCUGGUUGCUUCUUUGCUGGAGUUGAAGGAGGCUUAAUCUUCCGAGGUGGCUUGUAUGAGUCUUCAGCAUUCUCAGCAGGAGGGUGACCAGGGUUGUGACCAUAAUGUGGUGGCUUCUCUCCCUUAGGUGGUUUGCCAACUGGGGUUGGUGGCUUGUUUUCUGGGAGUGGCUUCUCUCCCUUGGGUGGUUUGCCAACUGGGGUUGGUGGCUUGUGUUCUGGGAGUGGCUUCUCCCCCUUGGGAGGUUUUUCGAAUGGGGUGGGUUUGUGUCCUGGUGGUGGCUUCUCUCCCUUGGGAGGUUUACCAAUUGGGGUCGGUGGCUUGUGUUCUGGGAGGGGCUUCUCUCCCUGGGGAGGUUUAGUGGGUGGCUUGUGUUCUGGAGGUGGCUUCUCCACCGGAGGCUUAUGCUCUGGUGGUGGCUUCUCGAAGGGGGGAUGCUCAGGGUAAUCACCAAGUGAGGGGGUGGUGAGAACCACCAUGCCAAGCAACAACACUAGCAAGUAUGUAGUAGACAUCUUUGGGUUUGGACUCAGACAGUGCAAAACUACGAGAAAUCGCUAGCCCUUUAUAGCGGCUCGGACCUAAUACUGACAUAAUAUAAAAUAAAUAUUAUAUUUUAUCAAGAGAGAACAGAGUGUAAUUUUAUCAUUAAUACCGAUCGAGGCCAAAGAAAGAAGACCCAUAAUCCAUUUCCCACAAGCAUACACAAUGCAGCUGUAAUUUUAUCAUUUACUUUUAUCCCUUGGACCACUGCAUUUUUGUUGAGAGACACAAUAACACAUUUUUAUCUGUCAUUCAACAUUUACAGUAAAGAGAGGGCACAAAACGCAAUUAGAUAAAUUAUGUUUUGCCUGCUAAAAAGAGGCAAAUAACUUUAUUUGCAACAUAAUUAUUUUGGUUUCUAGUGACCCCGGGGCCUUUCGGUUGGUUUGGGAUCGGAAAAUGAACAUCAUAGGGGGGGUUGUGCCCUUAUGGGCAUAUAUAUCUGAUAGCUUCAACUGGCCUUGUUCCUAGAAAGAAAUUGCCAAAGAUAUAAACUUAUUCCAGGCUGAAAGUAGAUGAGAGUCAUAAUGAACAUCAACCUUUGUUCAGUUUGAUUCAAUGCCCCCAUAGUGUUCAUUUCACAGAUCUGAAUGAUUAUAUCCGUUGAAUACAUAAAUUAAUGAAGACAAAUAUGAAACCCAAGAUACAUCUCUGCAUAACAACCCCAACCCUGGUUGCUAUGUUUCCCUUCUUCUAUUCACAUGAGGAUACUGGUUAUAAUUGUCAAACUUGCAACAAGCCCUUUGACACCUAACGUCAAUGGACGAAUUAAAAGUCUCCUUCAAACGUCUAUUUCACAGCAUGAAGCUUAUAAAGGAUGCUGACAACCUUCAGAGUUAGCGACAAAAGAUAAUUAUCAAGGAGAGAUAGUUCCAUGAGAAUUCCAAGGAGUCUGAAUCAAAGACAAAUUGCUCACUCAAGGGUUCUUAUUUUCUUUUAGGUACAAAUCUCUUGAGUGUUGUUAAAGAAACACGUCACUGUCAUUUUGAUUUGCAUUUAACAUUUCACUUUUGUUCUGGAAGGUUUGUUCCGGAAACAUAUCAAAUGAGCAUCAUUUUCUUCUUCGGUGACACAUGGUCGCGAGUACGUGGGUCCAUUUUCAUGCCACUUAGUUGAAAAGUUGGAAAGAAAAAACAUGCCAACAAGAAGAUAGUGAGAGAAGGGGCACUUCAAGCCUUUAACAUGAACAAACAGUAAAUAAAAGAUGUUUCUCCACUCAUAAAAGUGUGUUAGAUAGCAAUAUAACGAAUCACAUCCAAAAUCUUUACUAGGCUCAAACAUAAAGAAGACUCAUUUUUAAGAAAAGAUAAAAAUGGCAUUGUCUGAUAGUAUCCAAUACACGAGAUGGCACUUAAUUUGUACAAGAUCUGUCAAUGCUGACGCACAUUUUCUGAUUAAAAAAAAACUGAUCAGUCAAAAGCAAUGAAGAGAAGUGAUGACAAUGAAUGAUGCUUCCAAUAUUUUCACCCCUUAUAGUGUUCUUCAUGAUUCAGAUAUAUAAUUGGAAAUAGAACAACCCUAUGCCAUACAUUCGUCUAAGUAUGGUGUCUAAUUUUUUGUGUCAGCGGUUGCGAAUGGAGCGUGCAAAAGUCCAAAUUGGCGUCUCUCCAUUUCCACAUAGGAAGGUGACCUUUAUUGACAAAUACCCAAUAUUUGUAGACAUUCCUUAAAUAUCAUAACUUCUUGUUGAUUUGAAAAUCAUUUUUCAACUACCAUGUUUUAAUAAAUAUUUUUUAAAAUGUAUUUUUAUCAAAGUCCACCAUGAUGGAUAAUAUUCACCAUGCAAUAAUUAAUAAAGUACAAACUAAGCGAAAUGAAAAGCAUUUUCUUUGCUUUGAGUUGAUUUUGGUUGCAUUGAGUUGAUUUUGGUUUCAUGGUUUUUUCAACUCUUAUUUUGAUUGGAAGAUGUCAAGAAAAGAAAACAUAAAGAAAAAUUAAAAGGGAAAAAAGAAGAAAAAUAAAAAAAAAUAGAUUUAAAAGUUAAUAAAUUAUUUUUUAUAUUUAUUUUAAUUCAUUUCACUUAUUUUUCUUUUACUAUAUAAAAUUUAAAUAAUUUAAAUUUUAUAAUUAAUUUAAUUACAUUUCAUUUUCUUCUAUAUUUAAAUAUUGGAAAAAUAUUUUACUUAAUAUUUUUUUCUUUAAUUUCUUUGGCAUUUUGGGAACCAAACUUAGCCUUUAAAAUAAAAAACAAAAAAAAAAUGAAAAUAAGGAGGGAAAAGUGAGAAAAGAUAAAAACAAUAUGUAAAGGAUUUGAAAAGUAUUAGUUUGUAAUUACUAUUUGGAUUUCAAUAGUAUUUUAUUUGUCUUUCUAUAUUUCAUGUAAGAGAGAAUUUAAGAUAUUCCCCAAGGCAAAGCAUUAGUUACCUGCAAUCAGUGGUGAUAAGGCUCCAAGCCAAUUUUGGGCCCCAUAUCUUAAGACAGUACAAUUUCCAUUUCAACAUUUCUGAUUUCUCAGAUGUUUCACAUACCACAGAAGAACAUUGUUUGUGAAAAUAUGCAUUUAUGUUGGAUUUUGUAUGCUGUGGGGACUGGGGCAAGGAUCAUAUGGAAGAGUGGUUGACUUUUUCUGUACUUUAACGGUUGAAAUAGGAUAAGCACGGGCAUUUGUGAGGCUUAAUUGAUUUUGAAGCCUGAAAUUGCGUUUCUGUCAUUUUGUCAAAAAAAUGGCAGAUUCCAUACUCAUAUGUUUGGCCUGUGGCCAUGUACAGAUGCCAUUUAGUGACCAGUUUGUAACUGUCAAUCGUUGCGUUUUGACUCUGCCUCAACAACAUCUGCCAUUGACGGGUUUUCAUACUUGCAAAUCAAAUAGUCUUUCGUCCCAUCAGGAAUUUCGGUUUAAAUAUUAUUAAGCAUACGUUUGGCUGACAAUCAUUAUCCAGUUCAUGAUUUGGUUUCUUACCCUUAAUCAAUGGUUUCUAAGUGAAUAUAUGUAGAAGGAAAUCCGAAGUGUAGACAGUAGUAUCGAUAACUCUCAAUAUUCUCUAUAUAAUAGAAUAAACAGCGUCAUAGUGAUCGUCGCCUACAAGCAAGGUACAAAUACCAAAACGAGUGACUCACAUAGACAUCUCCCAACAAGAUGUAGUAGUGACUGACACAUGGACACAAUUAACUCGUAGAAAAGGAUAAGACCAUUGCACAGCAGCUCUUAUUUUACAUACUACUUAUGCUAACCAAAGUCAAUUAGUUGGGAUGGGUGGGAGAUGGAGGUUUGUGCGGUGGCUUGUGGGGCGGAGUUGAUGGCUUCUUUCCAGGAGCUUCUGGCUUUUUCAUCGGAGCUGAAGGAGGCUCAAUCUUAUGAGGCGGCUUGUAUGAGUCUUCUUUACUCUCGACAGGAGGGUGGCCAGGGUUGUGAUCAUAAUGUGGUGGCUUCUCUCCCUUAGGUGGCUUGCCAACUGGGGUUGGUGGCUUGUGUUCAGGAAGUGGUUUCUCUCCCAUGGGAGGUUUAGCAAUUGGGGUUGGUGGCUUGUGUUCUGGGAGUGGCUUCUCUCCCUUGGGAGGUUUAGUAGGUGACUUGUGUUCUGGAGGUGGCUUCUCCACCGGAGGCUUGUGCUCCGGUGGUGGCUUCUUGGUUGGAGGGGGCUUGGGGUAAUCAGCAAGAGAUGGGGUGGUGAGAACCACCAGUCCAAGGAACAACACUAGCAAGUAUGUGGGAGACAUUUUUGAGUUUGGGCUGAUCAGAUGAUGCAAAACUAAAGCAUUACGUGACCUUUUAUAGCAUGUAGCUCCCAAUACCCACUAAGUAUUGUGGGGUCCAUUUGUGCCCUACGGGGUUGAAAACUUAGACAAUUGGGCAAGGACCCACCUGACUAUGGAGGACUAGUGAGGUGUGAUCAUAGCUUUAGGAUUUUUCUUCCUCUGCAGCCGUCGUGCCGUUGGCAUGAUUUUCUUAAUCUUAAAUAAAGGCAUAGUUAUAGAGUUGUUUAAUCUCUAAAUGGGAUUUUAUAUAUAUCUUCAGAUAGCCAUUAAUAUAUUUGAUGAAGAAAGAAAGACAAGUGCAUACAACAUGUAUACGACUAGCUUUCAUGGAGUUCAUUUAUGAUCAGUUUUCCUGUACAUGUAAACCAGGAUCAUAUAUAUGUUUCUGUUCCACAACUAUUUUGGAAUCUUGUUUAUCAGUUUUUAUCAUUAUAAUGUCACAUAGGCUGCCAACUUGGGCGCUAAAAGAACCAGUUGGGCUAGUUCGUUUCAGAAUUUCAAUGUGGAUUCAGGAAUUGUUUUGUAAGAUAUGCGAAAUAGUAGAGGGAUGAAUAGUGUUUCAUUAAUAAAAGUGUCCUGUAAAUUAGAAGGUGUCAUAGAAACUAUAAUCAAUAAAUAACUUUUUUUCCCCACGGGUGGUGUUUCUUGUGGGGAUCAGUGACUGGUUUAGGUUCACCCAAAAUGAGUUCAGACUAAAAUUGGUUUGAGUCAAUGCCGUGUCUCUUUUUUCCAGAAAUCAACUAUUUUAUGCAUUGAAUAAAUCAUACAAAGAAAAUAUGAACGCCCGCAAAACCUAAACCCUGGUUGCUAACUUUCUAUGUUUCAGUUCUAUUCACGCAAGAAUAUUAGUUUAAGUUUGGGAAAAAUGGCAACUUACCUAGUGAUUACUUGGUUUUGGUUUGCGACUAUUUACGCAACCAACCAUGAGUUUGACUUUAACGUCAUGGGUUGAAGCCUCCUACAGGAAGGGAGAAAGCUCCACAGCUAGCUCCAAAAGAGAAUUAUCACAUUGAUAGCUCCAGAGAUUCCCAAGGGGACUGAAUCAAAGACAAGUUCCUCACUUUUUCUUCUUUUGAGGCCAAAUAUGAACCAAGGAUCACACAACCUCAUUCAACUUCAUAAGUUUGAUUUCAUGCAGUUGAACACUGGGUGAAGGCCAUGACAAGAAUUGAUUCAAAAAUUCUAUCACUCUUUUAAGUAAUGGAAGAUUAUUAUCUCUGAUUGGCAUCACAACAGCACAUGCUCCUAGAUCUUUCUAGACACUCCAUGCAAUGAAAGCACAAUGGAUCUUGUAACGAUAGAAACUAAGCCAUGCUACAGUACUAGAUGAUGAGGUAAAACUAGUAGACACGGGUGGCAGCCUAUAUGGGAGGGACACAAGUCUAAUUGAUUUGCAUUUCAGCAUUAUAGAUAGGUAUGUUUUGGAAGAUUUGUUCUGGAAAUACCGCACCAAGUAGGAUUCUUUUUCUCUUUAGUGGGUCCACUUGCAUGCCAAUUAACGAGUUGAAAAGUAUGAGCACCUACCUCGUGCUCGUGGAACCGAAGGUCAGUGAAGUGGGGCUCCUUUUGGCCUCGUGUAAACUUGAUUCAGAAGUGAAGUUAAUAGUCUUCCAUUCAGAUGGAUACAUGGGAAUUUUUCUCUUUUAUUUAUUUAUUUAUUUUUUUUUUGUGUGUGUAUGUCAAAGGAUAAUGAAUGAAGCGCGUUAGCUUGUUUUCUGACUGGAACCGCAGAUGUCCAAAUUGGAGUUCCUUCAUUUCUUACUUAGGAUUGUUACAUGUAUAAACAAGGUAUAAGAAAUAUGCCAACGUGUCUUGAGGAGUUAUUGAUUAGAAAUAACAAGUCACCCGACUGUAGAGUUCCAAGAUUUGAAUCUUCAGACCCUAUAGCAGCCUCUGGGGUACGUGGCAUCCUAUAGCAUAUUAAUGAAGGCUUUUUCGAUUUAGACUUCACAAUACCAAUUAAUAUGUAUGCACAAAAUGGAGAUGACCCCAAAAAAAACAGAAUCGCCAUAGUUUAUGAGGUUAAGGUGAUUCUCCACUUAAUAUCUACAUUAGCUAAUUAUGUAAAUCAAAUGAACUUCUAUUUUUCCUUUUUUUUUUUGGUUUAUGUCAAAUAGUAGCCCAUAAUUAACCCAACCAUUAGCCUGUUUGAAUUGAUUUCACAUGCACAAUGUUGUAGUAGUUCAUAUUUUGAAUUUUAUUUUUACAAAGGUAGUUAAGGAAAAUGAAGUAUAAUAAUUAUAAAAGCAGACUAUAUACACUACAAUAAUUGUUAGAAUGGUAUCUCAAAUUCUAAUUUAAAAUAUUAUUUUUUGUAAAAGAAAUAUUAUAUAGAAUAUUUCCUAAUUUUAUAAAUGAUUAUAAUUAGAUCUUUAUAAAAUAAGGAAAGUUGGUAAGAAUAUCUUUAUAAAUAUUUUAGGUCAUGAGAGAAAGAAAUGGGAUAAAAAUGUGAUGAAGAGGUGAAAUAAGAGAGUUGAUUAGGAUAUAGAUGUGAAGAAGAAAGGGAUUCAAUAUAUAUAUAUCUUUCAAUUACCACAUUAAAACCCUGUGAACCUUUUAUAUGGUUUACUUUAUUUUUAUAUUCCUCCUUUAAUAUAUUUACAUUAAUGCUUCCAUUGGCACAACAAUAACGAAUUACAAAUACAAGCAACAAGUCCCAUGUUUUAUUACCAAAAGCAGGUAAAAUCCACCUAAUAUAUUACAAUAUAUUCAUCCAAUAUUUUAGACCAAUUCUUCACCAUAAAUAUCAUAAUGUGGCUUUUGUUCUUUCUUAAAUUUAAAUUGAAUUGUCUUAUAUCAAUUUGUUUGUGAUUUUUUCAUUAACUUCACUUUCAUUUGGUUAUCUUUGGUUUUUGAAAAGUAUUAAGGAAUUAAUUAACAAAAUAAUGUUAAGAAAAAUAAUUUUCUCUCUUUUGAUUUUGAUUUUGUAGUAGAAAAAUAUAAUUAAAAUUAUUUAAAAAGUAUGUAAUUUUAAAUUAUUUAAUAUUUAGAUAAAAAAAAUAAGUCUAAUGAGUUUAAAAUAACAUAUAAAAAUAAUUUAUUUAUUUUAAAUUUAUUUUUUAUUUUCCAUUAUGUUCUCUUUCUCUUUUACUUUUUCAUAUUUUUUCUUACGAAGAAUCAAACACAACCUCAUAUUAUAUGUCAAGUGUUUGUCUAUAUUUGAGCAAUGUUAGAUACGGCCAUGGAUUCAUCAAACUAAACUGAUUUUAAUAGAUACUUCACAAAUUGAUUUAUACACUAAAUCAUUGGAUAGCAAUGAUGCAUUGGAAUUAAACGUAGGAUGAAGCUCGAAGAACACUGUUUGUGUAACAACAUAUUUAUGAAAUUAUGCAAAGGAUGAGCUUCGGGGUAGUAGUACAAGGUCAUUAAUGGAGAGCCGUGUUAAACCUUGAUUGUGAUUGGAUUCCGUUAUCAGCAACAGCAACCUUGUUUGUAACCUUGAAAGUCAUUCUGUCCACAUCGAAACUCCAAUUUGACGUUUGUAAUUACCAUUCCUGGAGUGUUCCUUGAUUGAAAUUUAAAUAAUAAUUGCGGCCCACAAGGAAUAUUUUCGAUUCUGUGGGAAUUUGACAAGGUUUGUUAGAGAAGACUGGUGACAUGUUGACUUCAAUGGUUCAAAUAGGAGACGUAUGUGGAUUUGGGGGGUUUAAUUGAAACUGAGUCCCUAUGGCUUUUUAAUAUUUGCAUUGAGCAGUCUCCAUGUGACUUCCUAAUUCCCACCAACCCUCCUGUCCAUGCUGUGAAACUAAAUUGUAAUUUAUCAGCCUUUGUCAAUGGUUUCUAAAUUAAAGAUAUAGACCAUGCAUGUACUUUAAUAAAAGCAAAUCUAAAGUGUAGAUAGCAGCAAUGGUGACACCCAAUAUUCUCCAUAAAAUAGAAUUAGAAUAAGCAGUGUUACAUUGUUCAUGAUCACCUACAAGCAUACAAGAACUUCCAUGAAUAACUCAUAGCAAUUGCCAACAGGGCGUCGUAGAGACUCAUACAUAGAACACUAUCCACCCAGAGGAAAGGACAAGACCAGUGCGCUGCAGCUCUUAUUUUUCACAUGUAUACCACCACUCGUAAUAACCAAAUUCACUCAGUUGGGAUAGGUGGGAGAUGGUGGUUUGUGGGGUGGCUUGUGGGGAGGAGUUGGAGGAGGCUUUAUUUUCUGAGGCGGCUUGUAUGAGUGUGCAGGAGGAUGCCCGGGAGUGUGACCAUAAUGUGGUGGCUUCUCUCCCGUAGGUGGUUUGCCAAAUGGGCUUGGUGGCUUCUCUCCCUUAGGAGGUUUACCAAUUGGGGUUGGUGGCUUGUGUUCUGGGAGUGGUUUCUCUCCCUUGGUAGGUUUGCCAAUUGGGGUUGGCGGCUUAUGUUCUGGGAGUGGCUUCUCUCCCUUGGGAGGUUUGCUAAUUGGGGUUGGCGGCUUAUGUUCUGGGGGCGGCUUCUCUCCCUUGGGAGGUUUGCCAAUUGGAGUUGGCGGCUUAUGUUCUGGGAGUGGCUUUUCUCCCUUGGGAGGCUUGCCAAUUGGGGUUGGCGGCUUAUGUUCUGGGGGUGGCUUCUCUCCUUUAGGAGGUUUGCCAAUUGGAGUCGGCGGCUUAUGUUCUGGAAGUGGCUUUUUUCCCUUGGGAGGUUUGCCAAUUGGGGUUGGCGGCUUAUGUUCUGGGGGUGGCUUCUCUCCCUUGGGAGGUUUGCCAAUUGGAGUCGGCGGCUUAUGUUCUGGGAGUGGCUUCUCUCCCUUGGGAGGUUUUGUUGGUGGCUUGUGUUCUGGAGAUGGCUUCUCCCCUGGAGGCUUGUGCUCCGGAGGUGGCUUCUGAAAUGGCGGGGGCUUGGGGUAAUGAGCAAGAGAUGGAGUACUGGUGAGAACCACCAUUCCAAGCAACAAUACUAGCAAGCAUGUGGGAGAC